rnacentral:rRNA from 1 species
AGAGAAUAGAUACCCAGGUAGUCCACGCCGUAAACGAUGUGUGUUUGUCGCUGGGAGGUCCACCUCUCGGUGACGGAGCUAAACGCGUUAAGCACACCGCCUGGGAAGUACGGUCGCAAGAUUAAAACUCAAAGGAAUUGACGGGGACCCGCACAAGCGGUGGAGUAUGUGGUUUAAUUCGUCGCAACGCGAAGAACCUUACCAGGCCUUGACAUGCCUCCUUGGGAAGCCAGAGACGGCUUCUUUCACCUCGGGUGGGGAGGACACAGGUGCUGCAUGGCUGUUGUCAGCUCGUGUCGUGAGAUGUUGGGUUAAGUCCCGCAACGAGCGCAACCCCUCUCGUCAGUUGCCAUCAGGUAAUGCUGGGAACUCUGACGAUACUGCCGGUGAUAAGCCGGAGGAAGGCGGGGAUGACUUCAAGUCCUCAUGGCCCUUACGGCCUGGGCUACACACGUACUACAAUGGUGGUGACAGUGGGCAGCGAGCUAGCGAUAGCAAGCAAAUCCCU